UCUUGGUCAUUUAGAGGAAGUAAAAGUCGUAACAAGGUUUCCGUAGGUGAACCUGCGGAAGGAUCAUUAUUGAAAUAAACCUGAUAAGUUGCUGCUGGUUCUCUAGGGAGCAAUGUGCACGCUUGUCAUCUUUGUAUCUUCUCCUGUGCACCUUUUGUAGACCUGACUAUCUCUCUGAAUGCUUAUAGCACUCAGGAUUGAGAAUUGACUUCUUGUCUCUUCUUAUAUUUUCAGGUCUAUGUUUCUUCAUAUAGCCCAAUGUAUGUUUAUAGAAUGUAAUUAAUGGGCCUUUGUGCCUAUAAACCUUUACAACUUUCAGCAACGGAUCUCUUGGCUCUCGCAUCGAUGAAGAACGCAGCGAAAUGCGAUAAGUAAUGUGAAUUGCAGAAUUCAGUGAAUCAUCGAAUCUUUGAACGCACCUUGCGCUCCUUGGUAUUCCGAGGAGCAUGCCUGUUUGAGUGUCAUUAAUAAUAUCAACCUUUUUGGUUGGAUGUGGGUUUGCUGGCCUCUUGAAGGUCAGCUCCCCUUAAAUGCAUUAGCGGACAACAUUUUGCCAACCGUUCAUUGGUGUGAUAAUUAUCUACGCUAUUGACGUGAAGCAAUGUUCAGCUUCUAACAGUCCAUUGACUUGGACAAGACUCUUUUUUUAUUAUUAAUGUGACCUCAAAUCAGGUAGGACUACCCGCUGAACUUAAGCAUAUCAAUAAGC
rnacentral:rRNA from 1 species